UACGUAGGUGGCAAGCGUUGUCCGGAUUUACUGGGCGUAAAGAGCGCGCAGGCGGCUGGUCAAGUCCGAUGUGAAAUCUCCCGGCUUAACUGGGAAACUGCAUCGGAAACUGAUCGGCUUGAAGGUGGGAGAGGGUAGUGGAAUUCCCGGUGUAGUGGUGAAAUGCGUAGAUAUCUGGAGGAACACCGGUGGCGAAGGCGGCGUCCUGGACCAAUUCUGACACUGAGGAGCGAAAGCCAGGGGAGCAAACGGG
rnacentral:rRNA from 1 species